GCUAAGACUGGAUAGGAAGAAAUAAGGCAUCUUUUUUCUUUUAAAAGACCUAGUGAUAGGUAUACUUUAGGAGGGGCUUGCGCCAUAUUAGUUAGUUGGUAGGGUAAUGGCCUACCAAGACGAUGAUGUGUAGCUGGACUGAGAGGUUGAACAGCCACAUUGGGACUGAGACACGGCCCAAACUCCUACGGGAGGCAGCAGUAGGGAAUUUUCGGCAAUGGAGGAAACUCUGACCGAGCAACGCCGCGUGAACGACGAAGUACUUUGGUAUGUAAAGUUCUUUUAUCAAGGAAGAAAAGCAAGUGGUGAACCAUUUGUUUGCCGGUACUUGAUGAAUAAGCCCCGGCUAAUUAUGUGCCAGCAGCCGCGGUAAGACAUAAGGGGCAAGUGUUAUCCGGAAUUAUUGGGCGUAAAGGGUGCGUAGGCGGUCUAGUAAGUCAGUGGUGUAAUGGCAACGCUCAACGUUGUCCGGCUAUUGAAACUGCUAAACUUGAGUUAGAUAGAGGCGAGUGGAAUUCCAUGUGUAGCGGUAAAAUGCGUAAAUAUAUGGAGGAACACCAGAGGCGUAGGCGGCUCGCUGGGUCUUAACUGACGCUGAGGCACGAAAGCGUGGGGAGCAAACAGGAUUAGAUACCCUGGUAGUCCACGCCGUAAACGAUGAGUACUAAGUGUCGGGUUAAACCGGUACUGAAGUUAACACAUUAAGUACUCCGCCUGAGUAGUACGUACGCAAGUAUGAAACUUAAGGAAUUGACGGGACUCCGCACAAGCGGUGGAUCAUGUUGUUUAAUUCGAAGAUACCCGAAAAACCUUACCAGGUCUUGACAUGUUUUUGCGAAACGGUAGUAAUAUCGUGGAGGUUAUCAGAAACACAGGUGGUGCAUGGUUGUCGUCAGCUCGUGUCGUGAGAUGUUAGGUUAAGUCCUAAAACGAGCGAAACCCUUAUCGUUAGUUGCCAGCACGUUAUGGUGGGGACUUUAACGAGACUGCCAGUGAUAAAUUGGAGGAAGGUGAGGAUCACGUCAAAUCAGCAUGCCCCUUAUGACCUGGGCUACAAACGUGAUACAAUGGCUGUUACAAAGGGUAGCUGAAACGCAAGUUCUUGGCCAAUCCCCAAAAACAGUCUCAGUCCGGAUUGAAGUCUGCAACUCGACUUCAUGAAGUUGGAAUCGCUAGUAAUCGCGAAUCAGCAUGUCGCGGUGAAUACGUUCUCGGGGUUUGUACACACCGCCCGUCA
rnacentral:rRNA from 1 species